AACGCCGCGUGAGUGAUGAAGGCCCUCGGGUCGUAAAGCUCUGUCAGAGGGGAAGAACCUCCCAUCGGAUAAUAUCCGCUGGGCCUGACGGUACCCUCAAAGGAAGCACCGGCUAACUCCGUGCCAGCACCGGCGGUGACUGAGCGGGCUGGCAAGGCGCAUA
rnacentral:rRNA from 1 species